rnacentral:rRNA from 1 species
UACGUAGGGUGCGAGCGUUGUCCGGAAUUACUGGGCGUAAAGAGCUCGUAGGCGGUCUGUCGCGUCGGAUGUGAAAACUCGGGGCUCAACCCCGAGCCUGCAUUCGAUACGGGCAGACUAGAGUUCGGUAGGGGAGACUGGAAUUCCUGGUGUAGCGGUGAAAUGCGCAGAUAUCAGGAGGAACACCGGUGGCGAAGGCGGGUCUCUGGGCCGAAACUGACGCUGAGGAGCGAAAGCGUGGGGAGCGAACAGG